AAUAACAUAUAUUUAUCGCAUGGUAGAUAUAUACAAAGUAUUUAUCGCUUAGAGAUGGACUCGCGUCCGAUUAGUUAGUUGGUGAGGUAACGGCUCACCAAGACCGCGAUCGGUAGCCGGACUGAGAGGUUGAACGGCCACAUUGGGACUGAGACACGGCCCAGACUCCUACGGGAGGCAGCAGGUGGGGGAUAUUGCGCAAGUGGGGAAACCCUGACGCAGCAACGCCGCGUGAAGGAUGAAGGUCUUCGGAUUGUAAACUUCUUUUAUUAAGGACGAAGAAAGUGACGGUACUUAAUGAAUAAGCUCCGGCUAACUACGUG
rnacentral:rRNA from 1 species